UUGAAAUAUAUAUAAAGUCUAACCUGCCCACUGAAAUUUUUAAAUGGCCGCAGUAUUUUGACUGUGCAAAGGUAGCAUAAUCAUUAGUUUUUUAAUUAAAAGCUUGUAUGAAAGGUUGGACGAAGUAAAAUCUGUCUCUAUUUAAUUUAAAUUAGAAUUUAAUUUUUAAGUUAAAAAGCUUAAAUUUUUAUAAAAGACGAGAAGACCCUAUAGAACUUUAUAAUUUAUAUAAUAUAAAUAAUUAAGAUUUAUUUAAGUUUUAUUAUAUAUAAUUAUUUUAUUGGGGUAAUAGGAAGAUUAAAAAAAUUCUUUUUUUUUAUUAACAUUUAUUUAUGAUAAUAUAUUAAUGAUCCAUUUUUAAUGAUUAUAAGAUUAAGUUACCUUAGGGAUAACAGCGUAAUUUUUUUAAAGAGUUCAUAUCGAUAAAAAAGUUUGCGACCUCGAUGUUGGAUUAAAGAUUAAUUUAGGUGUAGAAGUUUAAAUUUUUGGUCUGUUCGACCAUUAAAUCUUUACAUGAUCUGAGUUCAGACCGGUGUAAGCCAGGUCGGUUUCUAUCUUUAUUUAAUUAAAAUAUUUUAGUACGAAAGGACCAAAUAUUUGAUAUAUUAAUAUUUAUUUUUUGAAUAUUAUUAAUUAUUUUGGCAGAUUAGUGUAAUGAAUUUAGAAUUCAUAUAUGUAAUUAUUUUUACAAAUAAUACUUGUUUUAUAUAGAUUUAUUAUUUUCUUUAAUUUUUAGAUUAUUAUUAAUUAUUUGUGUUUUAGUUGGAGU
rnacentral:rRNA from 1 species